UUGGGCCUAAAGCAUCCGUAGCUCGUUUUGUAAGUUUUCGGUUAAAUCCAUGCGCUUAACGUAUGGGCUGCCGGGAAUACUGCAUAACUAGGAAGUGGGAGAGGUAGACGGUACUCGGUAGGAAGGGGUAAAAUCCUUUGAUCUAUUGAUGACCACCUGUGGCGAAGGCGGUCUACCAGAACACGUUCGACGGUGAGGGAUGAAAGCUGGGGGAGCAAACCGGAUUAGAUACCCGGGUAGUCCCAGCUGUAAACUAUGCAAACUCAGUGAUGCAUUGGCUUGUGGCCAAUGCAGUGCUGCAGGGAAGCCGUUAAGUUUGCCGCCUGGGAAGUACGUACGCAAGUACGAAACUUAAAGGAAUUGGCGGGGGAGCA
rnacentral:rRNA from 2 species